AGAGCCUCUGCGGAGUGGCUUCCCUUUAACUAUUGUCAAACACGAGUCAUGGUGUUUGGGAUUCUCGUGCAGUGACUCCAGCUUUCCUCCACUCACGCCAGGCACAAAAGAUCUCUCUGUGACGUUGUCCUUAAAAGACAGAACAACAUGAAGACGAGACUGGAUGUCAACCAGCCAAGUGGCGCCUGGCCCUAAGGCACAGACACAGCAUGCCCCUGGCUCGGGAGCGUCAAGAACACGCAAAACAUAAGGACUCUCAGUAAAUAUUUAUUGCAUGGAUUACGCUGAAGGCACAGUCCUUGACUGUAGUCCUGUCUGGAAAAAUAAUAAGUAUUUCCCCAGCCACUUUUCCCUGGACAAGAGCUGGAAGCAGUGGGGCUGCCCGCGGUGACUCAGCUUUCUUCUCAGCAUCGUCCUCUUCGGUGUCUGACGGAGCGUCCCUGGGAGCGUGGCCCGGCCACCGCAGCAGCAGAAUAGCCGCGGAUGAGUUGAGUGUGCUCCUUCCGAAGCACGUUGUCAUGUUCUUAUCAUUUUCAUAUUUAAUGAUUUCUACCCACUUGCAGUACAUUUGCUGUUAAGAGGAGCUAUAAAAAGUUCAAAG
rnacentral:lncRNA from 1 species